rnacentral:rRNA from 1 species
CAAUAUAAGUGAUGGCGACCGGCGCACGGGUGAGUAACACGUAUCCAACCUGCCGAUAACUCGGGGAUAGCCUUUCGAAAGAAGGAUUAAUACCCGAUGGUAUAAUAAAACCGCAUGGUUUAAUUAUUAAAGAAUUUCGGUUAUCGAUGGGGAUGCGUUCCAUUAGGCAGUUGGUGAGGUAACGGCUCACCAAACCUUCGAUGGAUAGGGGUUCUGAGAGGAAGGUCCCCCACAUUGGAACUGAGACACGGUCCAA